rnacentral:rRNA from 1 species
UACAGAGGGGGCAAGCGUUGUUCGGAAUUACUGGGCGUAAAGGGCGCGUAGGCGGCCUGUUAAGUCGAACGUGAAAUCCCCGGGCUCAACCCGGGAAUGGCGUUUGGGACUGGGUCGCUAGAGUGUGGCAGAGGGAGGUGGAAUUCCACGUGUAGCAGUGAAAUGCGUAGAGAUGUGGAGGAACACCGAUGGCGAAGGCAGCCUCCUGGGCCAGCACUGACGCUCAUGCACGAAAGCGUGGGGAGCAAACAGG